CCUACGGGAGGCAGCAGUGGGGAAUAUUGCACAAUGGGGGAAACCCUGAUGCAGCGACGCCGCGUGAGUGAAGAAGUAUUUCGGUAUGUAAAGCUCUAUCAGCAGGGAAGAAAAUGACGGUACCUGACUAAGAAGCCCCGGCUAACUACGUGCCAGCAGCCGCGGUAAUACGUAGGGGGCAAGCGUUAUCCGGAUUUACUGGGUGUAAAGGGAGCGUAGACGGCCAGACAAGUCAGAAGUGAAAGCCCAGGGCUCAACCCUGGGACUGCUCUGGAAACUAUUGAACUUGAGUGCAGGAGAGGUAAGCGGAAUUCCUAGUGUAGCGGUGAAAUGCGUAGAUAUUAGGAGGAACACCAGUGGCGAAGGUGGCUUACUGGACUGUAACUGACGUUGAGGCUCGAAAGCGUGGGGAGCAAACAGGAUUAGAUACCCCGGUAGUC
rnacentral:rRNA from 1 species